rnacentral:lncRNA from 1 species
GAGCCUGAUUUUCCUGAAGAUUCAGCAGGUUGGAAUGCCAGAGAAGUAAUGCCCUACCUGCACCCAGCAGUGUUCCACCAGUGGCUAUGGGAGUGGCUCACACACUCCAGCUACCUUCCUUCAUGGGACUGGAACCUGGAGUUCCCAAGAGGGAUUAGGCUCUAGUUGUCCAUGGGGCAGCUGUUUUACUGUCACCUUCCCUGUCCUGUCUCUCUUCCUGUCUCCACUCCCUACAGUGCUCCCAGAGAUAACUUCCCAAAUUUGCUGCCUGCCCUUGGAUGUUAUUUUAGGGUUGGCUUCUGAAGGAACAUAAACGAAGACAGACAGAUGUGCUGGGUAGCUAUGUGUAAGAUCACACUGAAACAUAGCCAAGAACAAGGCACUCAGCCACUCCCAGGUUUAAAAUCAAGUUUCCUACUUUGUCUCUCUGGUCUGAAUCUGAGUGAAAGCCCAGGCUCCUGCGUCACCUGGGCCACCUAAGGAUCUCCCUCCAGCCUCUGGGUGCUGAAGCUCCACCUGCCCUCACCACAUCACAGGAAACCGCGAGCACAUCCUCCUGCCUUCUCCAGCAGUCUCUUCAGUGAGCGCCUGCAGAACUGCAUCUAGAGCACCGGGCCAAUAUUGUCACCUUCCCUGUCAUGGCUUCCUUCCUGUCUCCACUCCCUACAGUACUCCUGAGAGCCGGGAGCACUCCCUGGAGCACUCCCUGAUUCGUUUUAUCUUCUGCACAACUGUUUGGCUGGAAUAGGAAGCAAAUGGCAUGGAAUUUGCAUAUGAAAAGCCAUUCCCACCUGUGUCCUUGUGUCUGUAAGGAUAGGAGGAUCCAAUCUUCUUAUCUGACCAGCCCUGUCAACACCUUCAUCUUGUUUCACAUUUGUGAAGGUCGGGGAGGCAUCUGGAGCUUCUUGAUGUGUCAGCUCGGAAUGCUGCCUGUGGGCUGGGUCGGCUUCAGGCCUGCAGGUCAAGAGAGAAGCACAGACAAAGGCACCACAGAGAUGCACAGUGACACUCAAAGAGGCAGCGAGACAGAGAUGAAGGCGUCGUGCUGUGAGAGCCAUCGCCCGGCAGCAUCCCCUCUCCUGGGUGUGAAUUAUGUCCUCCAAGGGCCUCAGCCACUGCAGCUUGAAAGUUACUUUUAUGCUAUUUCCUUAAAACCAACAAGAACACUUGACAUUUCUAGGAGGCUUUGAGUAGAGAACACUGGUGGUUCUCGUUGGUUGUGUAACUCUGCCAGGAAUUUAGAAUAUUGUUAGAAUCUUUAUUACAUUUCAGCCUGAUAAGGAGAUGAAAUAGCUAAUGAAUCCACUAAAAAAACUGCCAAGUAGCAAAGCUGGAAACUUUGGCCUUUGGUUGUCGUAUAAUAACACACCCCAGGCACAGAAGGUUUAGCACAUUUUUCCUUACUAAAACACAAAACAACAACACCAAUAACCCAAUGAGGAGUCUUCAACUCCUCCCACCCCAUAGCCCUGGGCUGUUCAUCUGCAAGUCAUUGUGUUAAUAGUUUUUGUUUGUUUGUUUUUUAGCAUUUGGUCUUCUAGAUUUGCUUAGAAAUCCAUGGAUUGGGGCAAGCCACGGGGAGCAGUGCCGUGCCUUUGCCUUUGUUGUGUGGAGUGACAGUCCCCGUGGCUGCAAGUCCUCACAAACCAGAAUGGGCAUGUUCCGGUGGAAAGGGAAGCAUUGUCUGCCUGGAAGAACCAGUCACCUCCAGUGGCUGGGAAUGUUUGUGCUUACCCACAGGGCAUGGGAAUGUAUGUGCUUACCUAGCCCAGAAGAGCUAGAGAGAAGAGCCUAGGUAUAAGACAAGGAGGCUUGUGGCAACUCCAAAGGGUCCCCUCUGGUUCUGGAGUGGAACUUACUAGAAAUGAAAGGGAAGUUAAUAGCUCCCUCAUCAGGGAUCUCAAUGUGUGUUUAGGUCCAGAAAAUCAAGGUUCUGGGUGCUCUGAUGGCAACUGUGCUGAGUGUGGCUGUCUGAACGCACCAGGGCUCAUUUGCUGAGCUUUUGUUCCACCUUCCGUGUCAGUUUGGAGGUUUGUUUCUUCAUGCAAUUAUGUCAGGUUCAUUAUUUUUCUUGGGCAUAGAACACACUUCCAACCCACAUGUUGUGGUUUGAAUAUGUCCUCCAAAAAGCAUGUGUGGGAAACUUAGGCCCCAUGCAACAGUGUUGGGAGGUGGGGCCUAAUGGGAAGUGCUCAGGCCAUGAGGACUCUGCUUUCAUGAAUGGAGUAAUGCUGCUAUUCCAAGGGAGUGAGUUCCUUAUAAAAGGACAAGUUUGGCCCCCUUUUCCCACUUUCUUGUCCUCUCUUGCCCUUCCACCUUCUGCCAUGGAGUAAUGCAGCAAGAAGGCCUCGCCAGAUGCUGGUCCCUCGAUCUUGGACUUUCCAGUCUCCAGA